GGAAGUAAAAAGUCGUAACAAGGUUUCCGUAGGUGAACCUGCGGAAGGAUCAUUACCGAGUGAGGGCCCUCUGGGUCCAACCUCCCACCCGUGUUUAUUUUACCUUGUUGCUUCGGCGGGCCCGCCUUAACUGGCCGCCGGGGGGCUUACGCCCCCGGGCCCGCGCCCGCCGAAGACACCCUCGAACUCUGUCUGAAGAUUGUAGUCUGAGUGAAAAUAUAAAUUAUUUAAAACUUUCAACAACGGAUCUCUUGGUUCCGGCAUCGAUGAAGAACGCAGCGAAAUGCGAUACGUAAUGUGAAUUGCAAAUUCAGUGAAUCAUCGAGUCUUUGAACGCACAUUGCGCCCCCUGGUAUUCCGGGGGGCAUGCCUGUCCGAGCGUCAUUUCUGCCCUCAAGCACGGCUUGUGUGUUGGGCCCCGUCCUCCGAUCCCGGGGGACGGGCCCGAAAGGCAGCGGCGGCACCGCGUCCGGUCCUCGAGCGUAUGGGGCUUUGUCACCCGCUCUGUAGGCCCGGCCGGCGCUUGCCGAUCAACCCAAAUUUUUAUCCAGGUUGACCUCGGAUCAGGUAGGGAUACCCGCUGAACUUAAGCAUAUA
rnacentral:rRNA from 1 species